rnacentral:pre_miRNA from 1 species
UCCACACCCAUUUGUGUAAGAUCCCAAAAGAUCACCAUUAAAUUUGGCACAUAUUUCUAGAAAAGUUAUCACAUGGGUGUGGGACUUGACUUUUCUAGAGAUCUGUGUCAAAUUUAAUGGUGAUCCUUUGAAGUCCUAUACCCAUGGGUGUGGG